rnacentral:lncRNA from 1 species
UUGAGCAGCAACUUGAAGGGAGGAACCCCUAUAGAGUUCUAAGGAGGCCGAUCCCCUAAAGAGAUCAACCCCAAGUUUAGAAUCUGCAAGGGUUCUAACACCUGGUAUCAGAGCAGCGUUCUUGGCAUUUUGCUGCCCUUCCACAGCCAUCCAUCAGCUCUCCACAAUCACCCAAAGCAAUUCCCACAAUUGCUUAAAAGAUCGUCGCUAAAUUCCGCCAUCAUCUCCACCACCGCAGAUCAUCCUUUGAUCUCCCCGUGAAUUGCAACAGGUUCUGGUUUCCUACCUUACUACUGCUGCAAUUUAGUUAUCCUUAUUUGAAAAUCCAAAAAAAAAAUUGUUCCUAUAUUACUGCAUAAACUUUUCGUCACAAAGCUUUCAUCUCUACGACGAAAGAUACAUUGCAGAAUUCCAACCGCAUAGCACUGUCUGUUUGAUCUUGCUACUGUGUUUUUUCUAUCCAAAUUUCUACGACAUUUUUAUGAUAUCUUUGACACUUCCUAACAGCAGAUUUCCCUUUAGUUUUAUCAAAAAAUUCUCAAUAUAAACCAUUGAUCUUUUACGUCUAAUCUGCUAUACUUGAAAAUAUGCAUUGUAAAAUUUCAACCGCGUAGUACUGUUUGUUUGAUCUUGAUACAACGUUUUUUCUAUCCAAAUUCCUACGAAAUUUUUAUGAUAGCUUUGACACUUCCUAACAGUAGAUUUUCCUUUAGUUUUGUCAAAAAAUUCUCAAUAUAAACUACUGAUCUUUUACGUCCAAUAUGCUAUAUUUAAAAAUCUGUGCUGCAGAAAAUUUCAGUCGCAUAUUGUUGCUUUAACCCAUCUAUUUACAUUUUUUUUUAAUGAAACUUCUUAUACACUUCAUAGAUCAUCUUGACUUCCAUCUAAGAUUGAUCUAUUGAGGAAUUCAUCUCUAAAAACAAUUUUAUGUUGCUGUAAAUUUUCGUCGUAAACCGUUAAAAUUUUUCGACGAGAAUUCUGCUAUCGCAACUUGCACCAAUUUUCUUGCUGUUACUGUCGAAAUUUUCUUGAUUAAAUUGGACAUCCUUGCUAUUAUAUAAACUGAGAUAUUGCUGUCAAUUCCCUCCUCAAAUCUCUCGAGUUUUUGGUGGAAAUUUCAUCGAGAAACUACUGUUUCUUCGACGACAAUUCUGCUCUUACAAGAUAACACAAUUCUACAGCAAACUUCCACUGAUUUCUAUCAAACCUUUGCUGUCAUCUAUCACAGAUCUAAAACUUUCAUCCACAGCCCUAGAACUCCACUAAACCACACUCUCAAACUAUACCCAAAACAGCCACAAAACGAGCCUAAACCGUAACCUACAUCCACCAAUCCACCAACCCUUUCGACCAACACUUCUCUCAACCUAUAUAUGCCUUUAACCCAACAACAAAAGAGAGAUCUUAACAUCAUAGAUUUGGAGGCAUAUACUAUGACAUUUAAGGAGGCAAUCAAUUUUAAAUUCGAAGCCUUGGAGGCGCGAAUGGAGGAUAAGAUUCGGACGCUCUUUACCGAACUCAGAUUAGGUCGACCACUAAGCUCGAAGAAAUCAUAUCAAGGAGAGAGCUUUACCCAAUCGCACCAAGCACGAAGAGAUGACUUCCAAGGAAGGGGAGGCUCUAUGACCGACCCCAACUAUCCAUGCAUAAGAGUGGAUUUCCCUAGAUGGGAAUGAGACCCGAUUGGUUGGAUCUCACGCGCGGAGCGAUAUUUUCGGUACCACAAAACCGUGGAUGCAUUUAUGGUGAAAAUUGCAGCUAUACAGUGGUUUGACUGGUUUGAACAUACUUAUGGAGUCCUUUCAUGGCGACAAUUCAAAGAAGGACUGCUGAUCUGCUUCGGACCAACCGAUUACGAGAACAUUGACGGACAACUAGCAAAGAUCCGACAAACCUCCACCAUUUAAGAGUACCAAAUCAGGUUUGAAAGGUUAACUAAUCAAACUUGUGAUUGGUCUCAAAAACAGCUAUUGGGGACCUUUAUUGAGGGCUUGAAGUCGGAGAUCCGGGGAGAAGUUAAAGCGCGACAACCGUACACGCUUAUGGCAGCCAUCUCUUUCGCACGACAUCAAGAGGAGCGAUCGAACCAUGAAACUCGGAGGACUAGGGUCACUCCUCAACCAGCAAUACUAAAGCAUUCAGCCCCCCCUACUAUCGACCGAGUCCCUACACCAAAAAGGUUGACAAGAGAAGAGCUUCGGGAGCGAUAUGCAAAGGGGUUAUGUUGGCAUUGCGACGAGCCGUAGAGCCGUGAGCAUCGUUGUAGUAAAGGGAGACUUCUUAUGAUUGAACCAGUAGAAGAGGUCAUUGAACAUCCAGAAGAGAGCCUCGAACAUGAAGAAGAUGCAAAAGAAGAGCCACAACCGACCGAAAUUACGGUACAUGCACUAGCCGGCUACUCAAACUCGUAAACGAUGAAAGUUGGAGGCCUUCUCAAACAACAACCGAUCACUGUUCUCAUUGACACGGGCAGUACUAAUAACUUCCUAAACAGUAAGGUUGCUGUCCAGAUGGCGUUACCUAUCGAGAAUUGCAGCAGGUUUGACGUUAAGGUCACCGACGGACGGAUUUUGAAGUAUGAUCAUAGGCGCCCACGAGUGAAACUGUUGUUGCAGGACCAAGAGAUAAUUGCAUAUUUCUUCCUCCCUCUUGAUGAUCAUGAGGCCAUGCUCAGAAUUAAAUGAUUGACGAUAUUAGAUGAAGUUUCUUGGAAUUUUAUGCAACUAAUUAUGAAAUUUUACAGUAAGGAGAAACAGGUGAUACUGCAUGGGAAAUGUGGGGGCGACGUAAUGACGAUUUGCACACAACAAAUGGAGAAGGUUUUGCAUAAAGCAUACAGCGGCUUUUUGGUACAACUUGAGCAACAAACUAAGGGAGAGCCAAUAGAAUUUGAAGAUCCAAACCUACUUCCUUUGUUUGCUGAAUUUUCAGAUAUAUUUGACGAACCGCACAAUCUAUCUCUUAUCCGUCGACAUGAUCAUUAUAUAACGAUUCUUCCAAGCAAACCUCCAGCAAAUACUCGGCCAUAUCAGUAUCUACAUCUCCAGUAGGAUGAAAUGGAAAGGAUUGUAAAAGAGAUGCUCGAAACAGGAGUUAUUCGGCCAAGUUGCAGUCUUUACUCUUCACCGGUGCUACUUGUACGCAAGAAGGACGGAACAUGGCGAAUAUGCGUUGAUUACUGAGCUCUCAAUGGCAUAACCAUCAAGGAUAAAUACCCUAUUCCAGUAGUAGAUGAAUUGCUAGAUGAAAGGGAGCACAAAUCUUCAGAAAGGCAUAUCGAAAAUCGCCUUUCGAACACACAACGACCACUAUGAAUUUUUGUUUUCUGCAACAAAAAAUGGAAUAUCUUGGACAUAUCAUAUCAGAGGAAGGUGUGAUGGUGGACCCCUCCAAAAUAGAAGCAAUGCAGAACUGGCUGACCCCGAGGAACAUAAAAUUGCUACAUGGAUUUCUUGGUUUAACAGGCUACAACCGCAAGUUUAUGAAAAAUUAUGGAAAGAUCAGUGCACCACUCACUCCUCUACUGAAAAAUAAUACCUUCCAAUGGUCGGACAAAGCCUCCGCUGCCUUCAACAAACUUAGGGCAACAAUGACGACGAUGCCAGUGCUAGCGCUACCAGAUUUCAACCGACCCUUCAUCAUUGAGGCCGAUGCAUCUAGAGUUGGAAUUUGAGACGUUCUCAUGCAAGAUGGUCGACCACUCACAUACACUAGCAAGACAUUGUCUCCCUCCCAUCAAAACAUGUCAACAUAUGAUAAGGAGAUGCUCGCCAUUGUGCACGCAGUAACGAGGUGGAGAUCAUACUUGAUCGGGCGAUGCUUUCAAAUCAAGACCGGUCAUAAAAGCCUAAAAUAUUUCUUGGAGCAAAAGAUAUCUUCCCCCACACAGCAAAAAUGUGUAACAAAACUUCUUGGAUUUGAUUAUGAAAUAACUUACAAAAAGGGGAAAGAGAAUGUUGUUGCAGAUGCGCUUUCGCAGCUACUCAAGCAAGCUAAAUUUUCGGCCGAUUCACUUCCGACCAACGACUUCCUUGAGGAUAUUAAGAUGGAAUGACAGGAAGAUUCGGAGACUAGUAAGAUCAUAAAAAAAUUGAAGGAAGCACCAAGCUCCGUGGCUCAUUACAAUUGAGACUCAAAAGAAUUACAUAAUAAGGGGCGCAUUGUGCUUGUGACAAAUUCUACUUGCACCUUCACGAGCAGAUUUUGGACAAAGUUAUUCCAUAUACAGGGUACUAAAUUAAAAAGGAGUACGACAUAUCACCCACAAACUGAUGGUCAGACGAAAGUUGUAAAUAGGUGCUUGGAGACAGCCCAAAGCCACCCACCAAAUAUGACUACCCAAGGAGAACUCCAAACCCAGCCAAGUGUCAUUAUUGAUCGACGGAUCGUGACUCGACGACAACGACCCACUACUGAAGUGCUAAUACAGUGGGCGAACCUACCAAUAGAAGAUGCCACUUGGGAGAACUAUGACGACUUGAAGAUUAAAUUCCCAAAUUCAUGAAUCGUCAGCCUCGAGGACAAGGCUGAUUUGAAGAGGGCGGGUCUGUUAGGACUCUAGCUAGGAGAGUCCUAAUUGAGAGGGACAUUCAUGUAAAAUCUACCUAAGCCGACCCCUAUUAAAAAGGGUGAAGAGGUCGGCUAGGGUUAGGAGGUUGUUUCUUAGAGAAGAAUUAGGAGUUGUAAAGGAAUAUGAGUCUUGAGUAGGAGUCCUAUCAGGAGUUGGUUAGAAGUGGGAGUCUUGAGUAGGAGUCUUAUUAGGAGUUAGGGUUUAGAAGCCCUAUAAAUAGCCAUGUAUUCAUCCUCUUUUCAUAAGGAAUAGAUGAAUAUUUUCUGCAGCUUUUGAACAGCAACUUUGAGGGAGGAACCCCUAUAGAGUUCCAAGGAGGCCGAUCCCCUAAAGAGAUCAACCCCAAGUUUAGAAUCCGCAAGGGUUCUAACACAAAGGUAAUUUUGGUUAAUGUUUGAGGCCUGUUGCUUUAUUACUGGCAACCCUGACCAUUCUUUCUAAAUCUUUCACUGGUCUAUUGGUUCUCAGUUUGAGCUCAUUUUCUUGGUCAAUUGUUGUUUUGAGCUAGUUUUGGCCUACUGCCCAUCCACACCCUUUAUUUUAUGCAAAGUUGAGAUUUCCAUUGGUCCAUUAGAACUAACUGAUGUUGGGUAAGAACCUUCAAACAGUAAAAUAUCAUGUAUCACUUGUGACUUUUUUUGUUACUCUUCCCAUAAUGAGUUUCUCUUAUGAUCUGCAUACAAAGCCCUAA